UGAUGGAGUUAUCAGUUUUCAUGGUGAUCUCAGUAAUACUUAUUGUAGAUCUGAGCGAUGGAGUUUCUGUUACUCAGCGGGAGCAUUCGCUCACAGAUACGGAGGGAGAAGAUGUCACUUUAAACUGCACCUACACCGGUGAUGCAUAUUACUUGUUCUGGUACCGUCAGCACCCAGGCAGAGAGCCCGAGUUCGCAGCCCGGAGGCAUAAGAGCGGUGGUUCUGAACUUAAGGCGGAUUUUGCUCAGAAACGAUUUUCUGACACAGUCCAGCAAUUAGAGAAGUUGUACCGAUUGACAAUCUCGGAGAUUCUGCUGUCUGACACUGCUGUGUAUUACUGUGCAGUGAGCUUCACAGUGAUGGGAACGAGCGGAAGCCUCAUACAAUAUCUGCUGCAGGUUUCUGGGCCACAGCUGCUGCCUGUGAGGGCUGUUUACAGCAGGUUCUCACACGCUGUUACUUCAUUAGAUUCCUGGACUGUUAAACUUGUAUCAUAA